rnacentral:rRNA from 1 species
CGAGUGCUUGCACUCAAUUGGAAAGAGGAGUGGCGGACGGGUGAGUAACACGUGGGUAACCUACCCAUCAGAGGGGGAUAACACUUGGAAACAGGUGCUAAUACCGCAUAACAGUUUAUGCCGCAUGGCAUAAGAGUGAAAGGCGCUUUCGGGUGUCGCUGAUGGAUGGACCCGCGGUGCAUUAGCUAGUUGGUGAGGUAACGGCUCACCAAGGCCACGAUGCAUAGCCGACCUGAGAGGGUGAUCGGCCACACUGGGACUGAGACACGGCCCAGACUCCUACGGGAGGCAGCAGUAGGGAAUCUUCGGCAAUGGACGAAAGUCUGACCGAGCAACGCCGCGUGAGUGAAGAAGGUUUUCGGAUCGUAAAACUCUGUUGUUAGAGAAGAACAAGGACGUUAGUAACUGAACGUCCCCUGACGGUAUCUAACCAGAAAGCCACGGCUAACUACGUGCCAGCAGCCGCGGUAAUACGUAGGUGGCAAGCGUUGUCCGGAUUUAUUGGGCGUAAAGCGAGCGCAGGCGGUUUCUUAAGUCUGAUGUGAAAGCCCCCGGCUCAACCGGGGAGGGUCAUUGGAAACUGGGAGACUUGAGUGCAGAAGAGGAGAGUGGAAUUCCAUGUGUAGCGGUGAAAUGCGUAGAUAUAUGGAGGAACACCAGUGGCGAAGGCGGCUCUCUGGUCU